rnacentral:ribozyme from 1 species
UGCCCAGCAUCUCCUAUCCUGACCUCCGCGUGGUACCGGCUGGAAACUAAGAGCAACCCAAGGGAAGAUCGGGUAACCAACCCCGGUGGCACUUUGGUCGUAGGCUGACAGGGAAGG